CAUAUAUUUGUACUUAAAAAGGAAACAUUUCAUGACCAGUAACACGUGUCCCUGCCAAAUAGGUGCUAAUGAAGCAGUCGAUACGAGUUUGCGAAAUUCCCAAUGCAUCCCAGAUGACCCCAUGCAUAGGGUGCAGAAAACGACGACGACAAGGACACGACAACAGCCGGCAUAGGAGGAGCCCAUCAUGAAAGCCGGACCAAGGGAUGCGACGAAAGCUAGCUGUAGCACUGGAAAGCCUGUAAGAAAGAGUGACUCCUCCGAAGAAACACACCCUACAGAAGGUUACCCAUGAUGGUGACCUGACCACCACCUCCACUCAGCACCACCCAACCCUCCAGACGCCAGAGACCCACAAACACGAUCAGCAAGUCGGAGCCUCCCAGGUAAGUCUAAAAUAUUUUUUGUAUAUUUUCUGGGGUAUUCGCUUUAACUUUAUGAAAAAUGUAUGGAUGCAUAACCCAAAACAAAAAUUGUGGAUAGUUUUCAAUGCUUUUGGAACUUUAUGGAUUUUGGAACUAGAUGGAGGUCCCUGUUAUGGAGCCGAAUGUCGAACAUUUCGCUUAA